rnacentral:rRNA from 1 species
UACGGGGGGAGCAAGCGUUGUUCGGAUUUACUGGGCGGAAAGGGCGCGUAGGCGGCACCGCAAGUCGACUGUGAAAUCUCCGGGCUUAACCCGGAAAGGUCAGCCGAUACUGCGGGGCUAGAGUGCAGAAGGGGCAACUGGAAUUCUCGGUGUAGCGGUGAAAUGCGUAGAUAUCGAGAGGAACACCUGCGGCGAAGGCGGGUUGCUGGGCUGACACUGACGCUGAUGCGCGAAAGCUAGGGGAGCGAACGGG